rnacentral:lncRNA from 1 species
UGAGUUUGUACCCCUAAUCCAUUAAAAAGUAGAAAACAGUGAAAUAGGGCAUUUGUUCUAAGUAAUGGGAGAAGAUGUAACUGGAGAAGAUGGAAAAAGUUGUAAGAACCACUGCUCUGUAUAGGUUGUAAAAGCAGUAUUAAAUAUGGUGCCUGCCCUUGCUAAAGGUAACAUGAAGUAAUAGGUAGGGUAAAUGCACUCAGCUGUGUGGGUUGCUUGAAAGAUCUUGUGAGCCUGUUCACUCUUGCAGUUGAAAGACUGGAUCACUUCUUUCUGGCAUUGUUUAUUUUUAUGCAGACUCCUCAGACCCCUGCACAAUUGAGAGAAAAGCCCGAAGAAUUAGCGUGACCUCCAAAGUACAGGCAGACAUCCAUGACACCCAGGCAGCAGCUGCAGAUGAGCAUCGAACUGGCUCCACACAAAGUCCUCGGACACAACCUCGAGAUGAAGACUACGAAGGGGCUCCAUGGAAUUGUGAUAGCUGCACCUUUCUUAACCACCCAGCACUAAAUCGCUGUGAGCAGUGCGAGAUGCCACGGUACACCUGAAUUCAGAAAAGUCUGCGCCAGGUUGAAAGUGAAACUUUGAGCACUACCAGAAGAAAAGGAAACCUCGGGACUCUAUUCAUCCACCCAGCCUUUUCAUUUUCGAUUGCACAGCGGGGAGGAGGAAUGGCUUUGUGGUCGUCGUUGUGCUCACGAAAGGAAAAAUGGGGAGGUCUUUUUUUCUCCUUUCUUAACUCACUACAGAGUGAGAGAUAGAAAGGGAUACUUGAAACUGGGAAAGGAUUCACUCUGUGAAAGAAUGUACACACAGAAGUCAAGAGCUCUUCUGUGGUGGAAUCCCAAUUGUUAAAGUUACUGCUGAGUGGCCCUUAUUUUUUAAAGUAGUACUUUGAAUCAUAGUAUGAAAUGUUACAGUUUAUGCAAACUGUGAAUUCCCAGAGCAGACUUACCUGGUCACCGCUCUCUGGAAAACCAAGGCUCCCCGUGCUUCUUCCCGUUGUUUCCUACUAAAGAGGACAACAGGAAAAAGCACCUAGAAUAUUUGGGGGGGGGGGGGGGGCAAAUUAAUUAAGGGUAUUUGUAAUUGCUGCUUUUUUCAGGGGUAAUUUCCAACACACAUACAUGCACACAAACAAAAUGUUUUAAAAUGUGAUUUGUAGCAGUCAGGAACUAGGCAUAUCAUGCCUUUGUUUAAAAGUACAAUCAGAGGUGGUAAGAUGCCUUUGGCUUGUACAGUGUGAUUCAUCGAGCUCUAUCAACACUGGUAACUAAGACCUACUUAUGCCACAUAAGAGAUGCAUUUUUUAAGUUACUGCAUGUUUUUAUUAAGGCCAUUGGUUUUCAAAAUAACAAGUCCUUACAAAGUAUGAUUUUAUAAAUGAUAUUCUCGUAAAACUGCGCUUUGCCAGUAGCACAGUGAAUGUAUGCCAAAUGCAAGUCCAUUCCAAAAUCCAUUUGGAAAUCUUGAGCUCAGCUGUGGUUCUUAAACUUUUGCAGUCCAUAGGGCCUUUUUUUUUUUCCUUCCAAUUUUGUGAUAAAUUCAUGAUGUUUACAGCACAGAUAAAACUUUGUGCCAUAAUCCUAAUUUAGCUGAAAUCAAUAUUAACUGUUCAAUAAAAACUUACUUGCAUAUGUUAAUAAACCAGUGUGAGGGGAAUUACAGUUGGCCAACGACAAAGUUGCACACUGCAUUAUUUAGGAAAGGAGGGAUUGUCAAAAAUUAUUAAGAGAAAGGUGAAUAUAGAGGACUUUGAAACAACUUUUAAAAUUUAACAUAACUGUAUCUAGAGGUCAAUUGAGUUUCUACAGGCAGUUCAGGUCAUUUUAAAGCACUCCUUAUUUAUGAAAUAGAACUUCAGGGUGCGGAUAAGAGAUAUAAAGUCAUGUGACUCACUAGGGUGCAUCGCUGGAAACUUAAUAGCACAUUUCAUUAAGGUCUCUGCCAUUGUUGGAGUUCCUUCUUAGCUCAGAAUUGGAGUUUUGGAAUCUUCCCCUCAUUUUGGUGAGUAUAAACAGCAAUAAAGUUAGUUAGUAGGUUCUCCCAUCCUAAAGGAUUUUACCUGAGGAUAUCGUCUUAGGAAUAUCCAUAGACGCUCCCAUCAGGUUUCUCCCCCAACCCCCCCUACACCCCCCCCCCACUUCUAAUUUAGCAGUAAUCUCUGGCAGACCUGGAAAAACAAGCUGCUCUUAAUAGCAUAAUGAAACCAAAGGCGUAAUAACUCAUCAUAGUUUUCCAUCAGAAUCAUUUCACACUCUGCCUACAGCUUUGAAAACUUUUUUUCAUAUGUGAAAAAUUCCCCAAAAUAUAUCCACUAGUCUCCCAAAGGAAGCAUGGUAAUUAACACUGAUAAAAACAUCUCUCACACAACAACUGUGGCAAAACUGUGAAAAUAACGGUGAGCAAGCAGAUGGGCUUAAAAGCAUGGUCCCCAAAACAACGUUCUUCAAAGGUUUUUGUAACACUGGUCUCUGUCUCCAAUAACAGUCUAGCCGUCCUACUGUUCUGUAAUAUGCCUUUGCCUUUGUAUGGUUUCAUAUCUCUUUAGUGAUGAUGGUCAACCCCACUUGGUUUUAAGUUACAAUUUAGGGGAAAAUAUAUAUAUAUACUGCUUGGUGUCCUAGCUAAAAGGUUUACCAGUAUUCAUAGUGAUAUGCUGAAGUGGAGGCAAUUAACUUGGCAGUUGUCAGUUGAGAAUGAAAGUAGCAUGUCUGAAAACAGUCUGAUGCUUUAUAAAACCAUGUAGAUGACUUUAAAACUAUUGCAUGAAAAUACAUCAAGGUUAAUAAGCUGUUAUACAGUAGAUGCAUGGUUUCAAUCCUUUGGUGAUAUAUCUAGUCAAUCAUUGUUUUCACCUGCCAGGAAAAGAGAGAAAACAGUCUAUUGGAUAGGUGUAAAGGGUGGGGUAUGCGGUAUCAGAUUGAUUUUAAGGAAGUUUUGUACAUGUUAAUUUUUAAUUGUGCACAAGUUUCAUAUGCCAACAUAGGCUGUAUUCAGUUUUAAAAUAGGCAAAAUGACUUGACACUGAUAAAUCUGGUAUGUUUAACUGUGUCCCAUAUGUAGACUGCUUUUUGCCUAUGACCAGUUUGAACAAGAAUUCACCCAACUUUCAAGAUGCCUUUUCAAAAGGAUCUUGUAGUCAGUUGGUAUGUACAGACAAUUGGCAUGGAAGUGGUAGGAUAUAAAUCGGAUGAUGCCUGGCUGCUGAGGUGCCAGCUGGAUCAGCUGGUGCACUUCUUGUUUCUUGUAAGAGGUUUCUUUAAAAUGACUAGUUUGAUGUAUCUGGUAACAUAUAGGCCUGACUAUACAUUUUACAUUAUUUCGCUAUUUUGUAAACUGGGAUUUUAGAAAGCACGUUUGCCAUUUUGUUAAAGUACAUUGCCCCUUAAAUUUUGGAGUAGUUUUUAAAAGUUUAAAAUGGUAAUAGAGGAGCCAGAAACUUUUUAAGCAUUGUAAAAUGUUUUGAAUUGAUAUUGACUUUGUUUGGAAGAGAGUAGAGGCAGGGGGCUUUAAAGAAACAAAGAAAUGCAUUGUAAAAAUGUAGUUUUAGAGCAAAUUAAUAAUGAUGGUGGGGAAAGUGUUGCUAAUUUGUUUAUUUCCCUGGAAGAAAUGGGAAGUGUGAUAAGCAGUUUAAUUUUUAAGGAGCUGGUCUCAAUUUUAGUACUUUUUAAUUAUGCAAAUAAAUCAAUGUUUCCUUAAAUUUUGUCAUUGCUUUGUCACAGUUGUCUAGGGUUCAUAUCCAACCUUCUGUGGCAAUUCAAUUUUAUAUAGUCUUUUAAGAGGUAAUUGUAAUGUAUUUCUGACAGUAUAAACAAAAAGAAUAUAAGGCAUAGAAGAAUUGUCCUCUAAAAAUAUCAAUGAUGUAUCCUGGAAUGUGAAGAUGUCCCUUUAUAGUUAAAAAUUGAAUUAUUUUAAUAUUGUACCAUUGUUAGACCUUGAAUGAGUCCAUGUUACCGUGUGUGUCUGUAUAUCUAUCUGUAGAGAAAGAAAAAUGACAACUGAAAUGUUACUUUUAAAAAUCAGAAUAAAUCGGGCACUGUCUGUGUUGCACCACUACUGUAUCUUUUCGAAAGAAUUAACAGUAUUUGCCUAUUGUAAAAGUUAAUUCUGAUGACGUUUUCACAUUCACCAGACUUUUUUUCCUGUAUUAUUUGCAUCCCCAAAUAUUUAAUACAAGUAGAUUCUGCAUGGCUUGGGCAUUCAGAGAUUAAUAGAAUGAUGACUCAAUUUUAAUUCUAAAGCCAUGAAAAGUUACUUUGAGACUGAACAAUUCUGAAUUAUUUAUGAUACCCAAUGUCCAUGUUUCUUUCCCUACUGUAAAAGAAUUGAUCAGUUUCUUCAUUAAAGCAGCAAAAACUUAUUAAAUCUUGUAAAUACCAUGUCUCUUUUAGAUUUCUGUGUAUGCUGUGAAUGAAAUCAUUUUGAGAUGAAAUUGUACAAAGGCAUUUUAAAAGGCUCUGCAUGCAUCGUACCUCCAAACAGUACAUAUUCGGAAAGUCAAAGAUUCCUGCAAAAUAAAU